UACGUAGGUGGCAAGCGUUGUCCGGAAUUAUUGGGCGUAAAGCGCGCGCAGGCGGUCCUUUAAGUCUGAUGUGAAAGCCCACGGCUCAACCGUGGAAGGUCAUUGGAAACUGGAGGACUUGAGUACAGAAGAGGAAAGCGGAAUUCCACGUGUAGCGGUGAAAUGCGUAGAGAUGUGGAGGAACACCAGUGGCGAAGGCGGCUUGCUGGUCUGUAACUGACGCUGAGGCGCGAAAGCGUGGGGAGCAAACGGG
rnacentral:rRNA from 1 species